AUAGAAUACGCGAACAGGGGCGCCCGAGCGUAAGCGAGGGCCCAACUGGAUAGCAAUCCGGUCAGAUUCCGGAGCGGCCGCGCCGCUGUGAUUGAUGGGUGUACCAUCAUAAGCCAGAACGCCAGCCCCCUAAAUUACCUACGG
rnacentral:ncRNA from 2 species